rnacentral:rRNA from 1 species
UACGGAGGAUGCAAGCGUUAUCCGGAAUGAUUGGGCGUAAAGCGUCCGCAGGUGGCUGUGUAAGUCUGCUGUCAAAGAGCAAAGCUCAACUUUGUAAAGGCAGUGGAAACUACACGGCUAGAGUGCGUUCGGGGCAGAGGGAAUUCCUGGUGUAGCGGUGAAAUGCGUAGAGAUCAGGAAGAACACCGGUGGCGAAAGCGGCACUCUGGGCCGGUACUGACGCUGAGGAGCGAAAGCGUGGGUAGCAAACAGG